UCUUCCCCCACACAAGUCUCCAUCUUCCCCCACACAAGUCUCCAUCUUCCCCCACCAAAGUCUCCAUCUUCCUCCACCCAAGUCUCUGCCUCCCUCUUUACCACCCGAUCCUCCACUGAAAACUGGUAGACUGGUAGAGUCAGGGGCAAAAAAAUUACGAACUCAAGUAAUGGCCUCAUAUUUACACAAUUACAGCCAUUGUUAUGUCAUUUGGAAGGAAACACGGUAGCUAAGACCCAACUUUUAGUCAAGGAAUAUCUGCAUUAAUCCUUUAUUUAUUUAUUUGUUGUUUUUAAACCCAAUUUACACUCUGUCAAAUAGCAGAUGAGUUAAAAUUAUUUGUUUUGAGGACCUCGGCACAGAUAAGUGUUACAAAAUGAAAGUGACAUUCCCCCCCCCGCCUGUCUCAUUUGUAGGUCAUUAUAUUUCCGAGCCGUUGGCAAGCAAAUUAGAAUCCAGCACAGAUUCAUUUUACUUCCAAGAUAGAGGGGCUUUAGCAAACAAGGCCUGCUUUCAGCGCGCGGUUACAUGCAAAUGAGAGUGACACUCCAGUUCUGGCAGAAGCGUCCCGCGCCGGGCCGCUGGCCGCCCGGAGAAUGCAUUUUUAUUAAUCGCGUUUAACAGCAUAAAGAAUCAACACGUGAAUAAUUCAUGAGGCCCCUUGUUGACAAAAGCUUUCCGCCACCGUGGCGGGAGACGGAACGUGCUCAUGCGCGGCGUGGCGGAGAUGAACCGCGCCGACCCGCCGUAGCGCCAGAGCGGGCAGAAGUGUGCCGUGGGAUGAUAUAACAGGUAAAGCAGGCGGAGAGACAUCAGGUGUAUGUGGCUAGAAGAGAGGAAGACAGGAGUCAAUUAGGUCUGCCUCACACCUGUGAUGGGGCCAGUCUCAUUUCAACUUAACUAAAGAGCAAAUGGAAAGAGCGUCAGGCCAAUACUGCUGCGUGCCUCCGCCAGAUGGGACAGGUCUAAAAUAGCAACCAGGCAAAGGUGAAGAAAAUUGCAAAUCAGCGUAUGACACUAUGGAAAUGUUUUCUGUAAAAAGCAGGAAGGCGAGUGCGGCUGCGGCGCCGCAGUGAUGCUGAUAAAUUGUUAUUGUGGCAGUCAAGAAGAGUGACGAGCGGGACGCGGUCAAACACGGCGUCAGAUUAAAGCGGGAGCCGUACAGGCAGCCGGGCCUGAUGGAUUUUCCAUAAUUCAUAUCAUAUCGUGGAUUCACGUCGUCACAGGAAGCAAACAAAGGACAGCUGGUGGCUGAGUGGCCCCACAGGUAUGGCAAGCGCUGCGGAACGGGCCGGAUGCGCCGACGUCCACGGAUCUUAAUGUGAGCUGCUUUGGUAAAAAUCACUGUAAUCUGUGGUGGGCACUUUAAUGCAUACGCACAGCAAAUUAAUCUUAAUAAUAGGUAUAUUUAUGCCUGAAUACCCUGCAAAUAGGCACACUUAUAUUGUGACAUUUCGGGAGCUCUGCUUCUGAAGUUCUCGUGAACUUUGUUCCCUUUCAGAAUACCCCCAUUCUCAUAAUUGCAUAUUUCACUGGAUAUGCAGUUUUAGAAAUGACUGUGAUUCCCGUAAUUGGUAUAAUGGGUUUCUUAACAGUUCUCUGUACCGCAGAUGGAGAGUGAGGCCCAAAUCCUUCCAACCACGAUGAGUGCUUUGGACAACGCAUUCCGCUCUGUGGCCUUGGUCAUGUUUCCAAACCCCGGUCUUUAGGUUAUGGUGGUGACUAUCUACAGCAGAACCACCAAAGAUACUGAGGCACUGGAUAAAAUAUCACGUCGACAGGGUAUGUGAGCUGUAUGAAAAUAGGAAACACCUCUGGGCAACGCCAAACACAAAGGUUGCACUUCAUCAUUUUGUAAACCAACAGCAAGGUGACGGAGCAGCUGAUCUCUGGCGGUCAUUGACAUUUCGGAGAGUGCCGGGUACGCGGUGAAGGAUCUGCUGAGAGCUAAUCGCUACUCUCGCUAAGAAGUGGGACAAAGUUGUGGAUCAAACAAAGUCUAAAACUUGGUUACUAAUGUCCAGAUGGAUAUGAUGUCAUCAUCCAUCUUUUCUAAUUAUCUAAGGAAAUAUUCAAUAAGAAAGAAAAUUCUGAUGACGAUGA